AGCAGCCGCGGUAAUUCCAGCUCCAAUAGCGUAUAUUAAAGUUGUUGCAGUUAAAAGCUCGUAGUUGAAUUUCGGGAUCAAUAUGUUGGUCGUGCCUCGGUACGUACUAGCAUAUUGGUUUCUCCUUUCUGAAGAACCAUGAUGUCAUUUAUUUGGUGUCGUGGGGAAUCAGGACUGUUACUUUGAAAAAUUGAGUGUUUAAAGCAGGCUCACGCUUGAAUACAUUAGCAUGGAAUAAUGAAAUAGGACGUUUGAUUCUAUUUUGUUGGUUUCUAGGAUCGACGUAAUGAUUAAUAGGGAUAGUUGGGGGCAUUAGUAUUCAAUUGUCUAGAGGUGAA
rnacentral:rRNA from 1 species